rnacentral:lncRNA from 1 species
GAGGGAGAAGGAAGGCAUAUGUAGCCCUUAAGGAUGUGGGGGAAGGAAAGGAAAGGCACAUUUAGCUGUGGUGCCUCCAUUAUGUGGGAGACGGAGAGCUGUCGCUGGUAGCCCACCCUUUGAUGUCUUGGAGGUCCUGGUACCCUGGGCCUGUAAACUUCCUCAGGGAAAUGAGAAUUAUGGUACCUGCUCUUCCUCUGGACUCCAGGUACCUGGGGAGUUUGGGGAGUUAGUGUAGGCAGCCGGAAGCCUAAAAGAUGGCGCCGUCACCAUAAACAAUGUCACUGUGCAGGCGCUAGCCCGAAACUGACGCCAACCCCUCCUGAGCGGGUGCAUACAAGUCAAAGUGCCGGCAGACUGACCAAUCCCAGGAGGACACAUAGCUCUCCCCAGUGCUGGGGUGUAUAUAAGCAGUCCUCGCUGGGUUUCCGAGGUUCCCGUAGCAUCGAGGUGUUCCUGAAAUAAAAAGGCUGUUAAGAAUCCGACCGUGUUGCUUUUUUUCUUGCUGGACGAGGUGAGCGCAACAAAUUGGUGGCCGGCACAGGGACCCAAGGAUCUUGUGGAUUCAGAACUCUUCAGCUGAGGAACGGCGGUACCGGUAAGUCUCCCAAAUUGAUCCCCG